AAAAAUCCUUUUGGCCAGAAAAUUUGGCCAUAAUUUGGCCAUAAUGGCCCAAAUACAUGUUCAUACUAUAAACUGAUUUAUUUUUUUGACAACUAUACCCUUCUUUGUCAAAUUUAUAUUUUUCUUAUUAAUUUGUUCAUUAAUUAUGCUUCAAUAAAUGAAAAGGUUUUCCAAUACAUUGUAAAUUGACUAAUUUUUAAAUUUCUCUAACUUCCAUACAUACAUGGCUUUUAAUUUCUUUUAGAAAUAUUGUGAAAUGGUCAAAGGCCAAUACAUAUGUAGUUUUUUUUUUCUUCCUUAAUUUUCUGAUAAAAAAUCUAUAAAGAAUACAAAAUUUAAAUUGAUAAUUAGAAUACAAAAUUUAAAAUUUAGAAUAUAUAAUUUAAAAUUUACAUUACAAAAUGAAUUUACUCAUAAAAUUAAAUUCAAAAUAAUUUUAACUCAAACU
rnacentral:lncRNA from 1 species